AGGUUUGGAAUGCAGUACGCAGGGAGAUCCCGGCAGCAUCCUUGCUUGUAUACUGACUGCAUCUGCACUUUUAAAACUUUAGGCUUCUGGUGUGCUGCUCAAAAUAAACCUACAGCUCUCAAAAGUCUACCUUUGUUUAUGAGGGGAAAAGUCUGGAAACUUCCUGAAGUCUUGCCUGGACACAGACCCAGAAGACACUCACACAAAAGGGAUGAAGAAGGGGGUCUUAACUGUCGUUGAAGAUGAUGUUGCCACCAUCCAUUAAAACCCAAAUGUAAGGUGCCUGUCUGUAGUUUUAGAGGAGCAAGUUGUGCUGGAUAAUGUGUAAGACUUCCCUACAGCUGUUGCUCUCCUAUUUGACUUGAUUUAUGCCAUCAAAAUCAUCAGCUAUCCUAAAGAACUAAAAUACACUUUUGAAACUAUUCAGAAAGUGUUUAUUGGCCUUGACCCCCAGUGCUCUUCAAGAGUCCAGUGAUUCAAAACAAAUUGGUAAAGUUGAAGUAGCUGCAGUUCAGAUGGCUAAUCAAAAGUGCAAGUACUGAUUUGUUCCUGUUUGUUUAGUAGCUGUAUAACAGUACAACAUAUG